UGAGUAAUGUCUGGGAAACGUGCCUGAUGGAGGGGGAGUAACUACUGGAAACGGUAGCUAAUACCGCAUAACGUCGCAAGACCAAAGAGGGGGACCUUCGGGCCUCUUGCCAUCGGAUGUGCCCAGAUGGGAUUAGCUAGUAGGUGGGGUAACGGCUCACCUAGGCGACGAUCCCUAGCUGGUCUGAGAGGAUGACCAGCCACACUGGAACUGAGACACGGUCCAGACUCCUACGGGAGGCAGCAUG
rnacentral:rRNA from 1 species